GUGCGUGUAGCUCAAGGGUAGAGCGCUGGCCUUGAAUGCAGGAAGCGCCCUGGGUUUGAUCCCCAGCACCCCCA
rfam:Heterocephalus glaber contig272466, whole genome shotgun sequence.